UUGCUGGAAUAUUGCUAAAAGCGACGUAAAACUGAACUCACUAACUGACUCACCCUGUACUCUGAUGUGUUCAUUUACGAGCCACUAUCGGGUUAGUGCAUUCAUAACCAAGUUAGCGGACCUGACCCAGUGAUCCAUAACGUCGCUUCUUAUACAACGAGCACUGGUUGUAGGAGACACUUUCUAGCUCGAGUGACAUCGUGGUCGUGUUGCUUAUAUACAGCAGAUAUAUGUGUGGAACGUUUAAGCCACAGAUACUCACACAAACCAAGGUUUUUUUUAAAAACAAAUGUUUUAUUUAAUGUGGCCUGACAAUGAAUGUUCAUGGGUCCAGGGAUACAGUCUCGGUCCCACGGGGCACUGGCUGAGAAUGGUUCCCAGGAAUCAACGCUGGUCGUAAGAGGCAGGUCAAUUCAUACUGUGAUCAUGGUCCGGUGACUGGUCUUAAAGUCUUCUAUUUUCUAUAUUAUCUUUAAAUUUAUUAAUGUCGAAUACAGCAAGGGUACAGUGGCGAUACGGCAAUACAGUAUUGUAUCGCGUCACGAAGCACACGGCACAAUACAUCGAUUUACAACACUUGUAUCGCAAUACAUCCAAUACAUUACACAGCAAAUUAUAUUGAUGUAGAAACAUGGGAACAGUAUCAGAAGCUGUUCAAGAACCAGUCUAUGCCGAUUCUCUAGUACUUCCUGGUUGGCUAUUAAUAGCAAAUCUUCAUACUGACCCAGGCUUAUACGUAUAUCCAUCCCUUCAAUACCCCAUCUUCGCUGUCUUAGAUUUAAAAUCAAAUGAAUCAGGACUGUGAGUAUACCUGCAGAAAGGUUGAUAAUAUGACUAUUUGAAAUAUAUCGUUGGGUUCUUCAUACGACUAGUAGCAAAGAUAAAGAUAGAACUGAAACAUGUUUGAGGAAAAUUCGUGUUUGUGUCAUUAUUAUGUGGGAUUCUUGUAUAUACCUAUAUAUACUCAACAAAACGUUAAGGACCACCCCAAUAUUCAAUAUUUAAGUAUUAUAUGGAUCAUAACAUGAACUAUUUAAUACUUUAUAUUGAAAAUUGGGGUGGUCCUUAACUUUCUUUGCUGAGUAUAUAUAAAUCUAUUGCUACCUGAUUCAGAACAAAUGUUUGAUCUGUAUGAUCAUCAAACUACUUGAAGCGUCAUGAUAUCUCCUUCUUUGCACCUGUCACCGAAUGGUGAAAUCUGGCUAAGCGAGUCUGCUUGAUGACGCUAAAAUAGGGUAAGUGUACCAAAAUCGAGCAGACGCUGUUAGUGUCUCGUCGACGGCCGCAUCGUUAUCGGAAGGACAGGUAUUUUCAGACGGUGCGCAGUAUUAAUUAUCAGGUGUCAGUUUACAAUAAUUAUUUAGAUGGUGCAUCAUGUAUUAUCAGGUGUAAAAACAAUGUCAGUUUUAGCAGACCCCCACGGUCACCGAACAGGAUAUGGUAAUCUGUUUGGCUCGAUACGACAUUUAAAGAUAACGUUAUACCGAGGAUAUUUCGUGUGUUUCUAAUGCUGUUGUGUAGCACAGUGCAUUUCCUCAUCACGCUGAAGUACACAUGUCAUCACGAUGUGGAGGGAAUCCCUAAUAGAACUUAUGUUAUAGGUUAUGUAAUAGGUUAUGACGGCCCGGUUUAUACAGAUAUGGUCUGGAUUUAUGACGUUGUGGAUUUCAUUUCAUUCACGAUAUGACCAGGUUUGACAAAGGUAAUCACAGAAAUGUCUGUCAAAGAGCCCUGAACCAAAACAAAUGACAACAGCUAUAUUGUAUAAAGUAUAAAAUGUACAAAUAUCUCUAUGUAA